rnacentral:rRNA from 1 species
UACGUAGGGUGCGAGCGUUGUCCGGAAUUAUUGGGCGUAAAGGGCUCGUAGGCGGUCUGUCACGUCGGGAGUGAAAACUCAGGGCUUAACCCUGAGCCUGCUUCCGAUACGGGCAGACUAGAGGUAUGCAGGGGAGAAUGGAAUUCCUGGUGUAGCGGUGAAAUGCGCAGAUAUCAGGAGGAACACCGGUGGCGAAGGCGGGACUCUGGGCCGAUACUGACGCUGAGGAGCGAAAGCGUGGGGAGCAAACAGG